rnacentral:rRNA from 1 species
AGUGAACGCUGGCGGUAGGCCUAACACAUGCAAGUCGAACGGCAGCACAGUAAGAGCUUGCUCUUACGGGUGGCGAGUGGCGGACGGGUGAGGAAUACAUCGGAAUCUACUUUUUCGUGGGGGAUAACGUAGGGAAACUUACGCUAAUACCGCAUACGACCUACGGGUGAAAGCAGAGGAUAUUCGGACCUUGCGCGAUUGAAUGAGCCGAUGUCGGAUUAGCUAGUUGGCGGGGUAAAGGCCCACCAAGGCGACGAUACGUAGCUGGUCUGAGAGGAUGAUCAGCCACACUGGAACUGAGACACGGUCCAGACUCCUACGGGAGGCAGCAGUGGGGAAUAUUGGACAAUGGGCGCAAGCCUGAUCCAGCCAUACCGCGUGGGUGAAGAAGGCCUUCGGGUUGUAAAGCCCUUUUGUUGGGAAAGAAAAGCAGCAGGUUAAUACCCCGCUGUUCUGACGGUACCCAAUGAAUAAGCACCGGCUAACUUCGUG